rnacentral:rRNA from 1 species
UGGGGAAUAUUGGACAAUGGGCGCAAGCCUGAUCCAGCCAUGCCGCGUGAGUGAUGAAGGCCCUAGGGUUGUAAAGCUCUUUCACCGGUGAAGAUAAUGACGGUAACCGGAGAAGAAGCCCCGGCUAACUUCGUGCCAGCAGCCGCGGUAAUACGAAGGGGGCUAGCGUUGUUCGGAUUUACUGGGCGUAAAGCGCACGUAGGCGGACUUUUAAGUCAGGGGUGAAAUCCCGGGGCUCAACCCCGGAACUGCCUUUGAUACUGGAAGUCUGGAGUAUGGUAGAGGUGGGUGGAAUUCCGAGUGUAGAGGUGAAAUUCGUAGAUAUUCGGAGGAACACCAGUGGCGAAGGCGGCUCACUGGACCAUUACUGACGCUGAGGUGCGAAAGCGUGGGGAGCAAACAGG